rnacentral:rRNA from 1 species
UACGUAGGGACCGAGCGUUGUCCGGAAUCAUUGGGCGUAAAGAGCGUGUAGGCGGCCCCUUAAGUCCUGCGUGAAAUCCUGCGGCUCAACCGCAGACGGUCGUGGGAAACUGGAGGGCUAGAGUGCGGGAGAGGAGAGUGGAAUUCCCGGUGUAGCGGUGAAAUGCGCAGAUAUCGUGAGGAAGACCAGUGGCGAAGGCGGGUCUCUGGACAGUUCCUGACGCUGAGGCGCGAAGGCCAGGGGAGCAAACGGG